CAGCAGCCGCGGUAAUACGAAGGGGGCUAGCGUUGCUCGGAAUGACUGGGCGUAAAGGGCGCGUAGGCGGAUUGUUUAGUUAGGCGUGAAAUUCCUGGGCUUAACCUGGGGACUGCGCUUAAUACAGGCAGUCUAGAGUGAGGAAGAGGGUUGUGGAAUUCCCAGUGUAGAGGUGAAAUUCGUAGAUAUUGGGAAGAACACCGGUGGCGAAGGCGGCAACCUGGUCCUUGACUGACGCUGAGGCGCGAAAGUGUGGGGAGCAAACAGGAUUAGAUACCCCCGUAGUCCCUGUCUCUUAUAC
rnacentral:rRNA from 1 species